rnacentral:rRNA from 1 species
UGCUAAUACCGCGUAACAACAAAUCACACAUGUGAUCUGUUUGAAAGGUCCUUUUGGAUCGCUAGAGGAUGGUCUUGCGGCGUAUUAGCUUGUUGGUAGGGUAGAAGCCUACCAAGGCAAUGAUGCGUAGCCGAGUUGAGAGACUGGCCGGCCACAUUGGGACUGAGACACUGCCCAAACUCCUACGGGAGGCUGCAGUAGGGAAUUUUCCGCAAUGCACGAAAGUGUGACGGAGCGACGCCGCGUGUGUGAUGAAGGCUUUCGGGUCGUAAAGCACUGUUGUAAGGGAAGAAUAACUGAAUUCAGAGAAAGUUUUCAGCUUGACGGUACCUUACCAGAAAGGGAUGGCUAAAUACGUGCCAGCAGCCGCGGUAAUACGUAUGUCCCGAGCGUUAUCCGGAUUUAUUGGGCGUAAAGCGAGCGCAGACGGUUUAUUAAGUCUGAUGUGAAAUCCCGAGGCCCAACCUCGGAACUGCAUUGGAAACUGAUUUACUUGAGUGCGAUAGAGGCAAGUGGAACUCCAUGUGUAGCGGUGAAAUGCGUAGAUAUGUGGAAGAACACCAGUGGCGAAAGCGGCUUGCUAGAUCGUAACUGACGUUGAGGCUCGAAAGUAUGGGUAGCAAACGGGAUUAGAUACCCCGGUAGUCCAUACCGUAAACGAUGGGUGCUAGUUGUUAAGAGGUUUCCGCCUCCUAGUGACGUAGCAAACGCAUUAAGCACCCCGCCUGAGGAGUACGGCCGCAAGGCUAAAACUUAAAGGAAUUGACGGGGACCCGCACAAGCGGUGGAGCAUGUGGUUUAAUUCGAAGAUACGCGAAAAACCUUACCAGGUCUUGACAUACCAAUGAUCGCUUUUGUAAUGAAAGCUUUUCUUCGGAACAUUGGAUACAGGUGGUGCAUGGUCGUCGUCAGCUCGUGUCGUGAGAUGUUGGGUUAAGUCCCGCAACGAGCGCAACCCUUGUUAUUAGUUGCCAGCAUUUAGUUGGGCACUCUAAUGAGACUGCCGGUGAUAAACCGGAGGAAGGUGGGGAUGACGUCAAGUCCUCAUGGCCCUUAUGGGUAGGGCUUCACACGUCAUACAAUGGUCGGUACAGAGGGUUGCCAAGCCGCGAGGUGGAGCCAAUCCCAGAAAGCCGAUCGUAGUCCGGAUCGUAGUCUGCAACUUGACUACGUGAAGUCGGAAUCGCUAGUAAUCGCGGAUCAGAAUGCCGCGGUGAAUACGUUCCCGGGUCUUGCACAC